AGAGUUGAUCAUGGCUCAGGACGAACGCUGGCGGCGUGCCUAACACAUGCAAGUCGAGCGAGGAGAUCCUUCGGGAUGAUCCUAGCGGCGGACGGGUGAGUAACACGUGGGCAACCUGCCUCAUAGAGAGGAAUAGCCUUCCGAAAGGGAGAUUAAUACCUCAUAACAUUGCAGUUUCGCAUGGAACAGCAAUUAAAGGAGUAAUCCGCUAUGAGAUGGGCCCGCGGCGCAUUAGCUAGUUGGUGAGGUAACGGCUCACCAAGGCGACGAUGCGUAGCCGACCUGAGAGGGUGAUCGGCCACAUUGGGACUGAGACACGGCCCAGACUCCUACGGGAGGCAGCAGUGGGGAAUAUUGCACAAUGGGGGAAACCCUGAUGCCAGCAACGCCGCGUGAGUGAUGACGGCCUUCGGGUUGUAAAGCUCUGUCUUCAGGGACGAUAAUGACGGUACCUGAGGAGGAAGCCACGGCUAACUACGUGCCAGCCGCCGC
rnacentral:rRNA from 1 species